rnacentral:rRNA from 1 species
CCUACGGGUGGCAGCAGUAGGGAAUAUUGCGCAAUGGCCGGAAGUCUGACGCAGUGACGCCGCGUGAGCGAUGAAGGUCUUCGGAUCGUAAAGCUCUGUCCUUGGGGAAGAAGGCGAAAGCUUGACGGUACCCGAGAAGAAAGCCCCGGCUAACUACGUGCCAGCAGCCGCGGUAACACGUAGGUGGCAAGCGUUGUCCGGAAUUACUGGGUGUAAAGGGCGUGUAGGCGGGGAUGCAAGUCAGAUGUGAAAUUCCGGGGCUCAACCCCGGCGCUGCAUCUAAAACUGUGUCUCUUGAGUGCUGGAGAGGAAAGUGGAAUUCCUAGUGUAGCGGUGAAAUGCGUAGAGAUUAGGAGGAACACCAGUGGCGAAGGCGACUUUCUGGACAGUAACUGACGCUGAGGCGCGAGAGCGUGGGGAGCAAACAGGAUUAGAUACCCUUGUAG